AAAAGAUACACAAUACAAGAAGUGAUAAAAGAAAGAGAAACAAAAGGCACCUUUCUAGUCUCCUAGACAUAAUAAAGGAAACAAAAACAAAAACAUUAGAGUCUUGUUUCAAAAAACAUACAUCAAAACAGGUUGAAACCUGGAUCUGUUCAUUAGGGAAGAUAUGGAUCCCGGACAAGAAGCUCGGUCGUUCUCGUUGUAACACAGCUCCAGAGAUCCUCUCCCUGAACUCAAGACUCAAGAGACCCAUCUCUCACAAGCUCAAGUCUCUAAUAACAGACACAAAGUGCCUAUAACCAGCAAGAUCGCACAAACACAUCAGAAGCCAGCAAACUUGGCUUCGUUGUUAUCUCCUUCUCUCAAGAUCCUCACAAGCGGCUACAGAACACAUCCUCUGCAAAUAUCUUUUGAUCUCCUCCUGAGAGAAGCUCCACAUACAAAGGAAUGGAACCAGCUUCAGUAACAGGCCUAAUGUACUCUGUCUGAGCCGCCUAUGAUCCCCAAGGCAUUACCAGCUAAAAGCUUCCCCUUCUCAUCUCCAUCACGAAACAAAUCCACAAGAGCUGGAACCACUCCUGCUUCAAUCCAAUAGCGUGACAAGCUAACGAGAAACUUCAACCCUCCUUUGUGAACAAGAACGCGUCUACUCGAAUCAUCUUCCCACUCACGUAUCACAAUCUCCGUGCCGCUCUCUCAUAUUCAUUCCGCAUUAUUCGCUUGCUGAGUCAUUGUCUGGUUUGAGAGGAAGUCAGUGAGGUUAAGAUUGAGAAAAGGUUCCGGUCAAGUGUUUGCAGAUUAUUCGUUAUCUCUAUUUUGUCGGUCACUGAUGCCUCGGAUUCUGACCAGACCAAGCUUCAGCUAAGGAGAAGGCUUGGUUUGCUAAUUCUCUAAAGUCAAAGUGAUGUACAUCUGUGUCAUGCCCCUGGUACUCCUUACAACAAUGAGCAACCAAAUGAAGAAGUUAAGUUAGAUCCCUCAAGUUGUCCAAUUGCU